CAGUGGUAGUGAAGUUUGUAUGUCUUCUUUUGUUAGCCUUGAUCUCUUACUGGUUGAUAUUCAUACCUUUUUAUAGAAGGGAGCAGCGCAAAGUUGGGAGUGGGGAAGCUUGCUGCGCUGAUAAUCGACUACGCACUGAACUGGUGAUGGAGGCAGUCAUAGUAAUAAGUAAUAUAUCAAUGCAGAACACAACGUGCUUCAGGGAAUAUGACAAUAAAACAGAGGUUUUGUAUUUCAAGGACUUUUCACCUUGUACAAUCUCCCAAUCAUCUGUGAAGGCAUUGCAAAGCAUUGACUGGAAAACAUAUGGUUUGAAUUUAGGAGGCGUAGUGGAGCAAGAUGGCGUUACAUUACUACAAUGGGAAAACUUGCCUACAGAUACUCACAUUGAUAUUUUGCUACACUCGUAUCAUAAACAAUAUCCAGCACUGGACAGAUCCUUUUUAUCUUUAUCAGAGACAAUUAAAUGCAUCUUGUUAUUUUCUGAGAUAAUUUCUUUUCAAAAAAAAUUCUGAGACUUUUUUUAUGCUUUUACUGUAAGAUGUUUCUUUGAAGAAAAAAGUUAUAUUAUAUUUGUUCAUUGAAUAAGUGACGGUCCAGUAGUUCUUACUUGAACUUUAGCAGAUCUAGUGUAUCAUAACUCAAGCAGUUUGCCUUUUCUAGAUGUGGAAAAGGAACUUUGUAUUUUCUUUCUACCUUUUUCAUACAAUCAUGGCUCAAUAUAUAGCCUUUAUUAGAGCAUUAGAGAUGCUACAAACACACACCCGAUAAGGAUCAACAGAUACGCACUACUCCUAUAACAAAGCAUAUUCCUACUAAGUGCUAACCACUCCCUCACUGCUAGCUGGGCUACCUCUAACGGCAUUUGAUCCUGUAAUAUUCUCCUUCCUAUCACCCAUCUUCAUACAACCAAUUUACAAAUCUACAUUUCAGGGUUAAAAUUGCACUUUACGUUCUUCUCGGGCAUACAUAUUUCCCUAUAUAUGUAUGAACAUUGGAUUUUGUAUGGCAAUGUAUCUUCUGAAUUUUCUUUAUUUGUAUGUAAUUUAUACUUCCUUGACAUAUUUAAUAUUUAUAAGACCAUGAUACCAGCUCCAAGGAAAAUGUCUCCACUUGUCAGAAACCUUGUUAAGAGAGCAGUUAAACUUUCCCUAGAUGACUUGAAGGCGAAUCAUUCCCAGGCUUUUUUAAGUUCACGUGACGUCGAGAUUUGCGGUUAUGCCCCUGAUCUCGCAAGACAAUUGCUGGGAUCUUGUCUUCCUGUGACUUGGAUUUCCAGGGAGAAUGCAUUUCUCUUCUUGGAUUACAGUCCCAAGGGGUUGGAACUGAAAUUGUGGAAAACUGUAUUGAGGAAAGAAUUGUUUCAGUUGUAGAGAUGGACAACAAGAAGCCCCACAAUUCUCAAGAACCCGCACCUUUCCUUUUCGAAGAAGACCCUGUCGAGGAAUUAGAGUUUCAAGAAAACGAUUUCAGCCCCUUGAACUCUUUACUGUUUUAAGCUUUUCUUGCGCCCCUAGUUCAAGUAUAUGUCAUUGAGGCAAAACGGAGCAAUAGUAACCACUAAGAACAAUGAAAAGGCAAUACUAAUAGCAUUUGGUCAAUUUAUUUUUCAUAAUUUUAUUUCCUAAAUUGUUUAUUUGUGUACAUGUUUUUAUUGAAAAAAUAGCUACACAUUUUUGUGAAUAAGAAAAUAGUACUGUCAAAAACUGAAAA